CUCGGUGUCCAUGGCGCUGGGGAAACACCUGUUCUCAUUCCGAACACAGCAGUUAAGCCCAGCAGCGGCGAUUAUACUGCUAUGCGGGAAACUAGCACGAUGCCGAAU
rnacentral:rRNA from 1 species